rnacentral:rRNA from 1 species
UACGUAGGGUGCAAGCGUUGUCCGGAAUUAUUGGGCGUAAAGAGCUCGUAGGCGGUCUGUCACGUCGGCUGUGAAAACCCGGGGCUCAACCCCGGGCCUGCAGUCGAUACGGGCAGACUAGAGGUAGGUAGGGGAGAAUGGAAUUCCUGGUGUAGCGGUGAAAUGCGCAGAUAUCAGGAGGAACACCGGUGGCGAAGGCGGGUCUCUGGGCCGAUACUGACGCUGAGGAGCGAAAGCGUGGGGAGCGAACAGG